AAAGUUUUAUGUACCUGUUCCGUGUUAGAUGUUAGAUUUCAAGUAGAGUGUUAGAUUUCAACUUUUAUACAAGAGGUGUGUACAGCUAUUAUAGAAGGAUUAAAAUAAUACAUCAAGAUGCCGUCAGGAGUAACAGAAUGGAAACAAGUUGCAAAAGAUUUCGAGGGAAGAAGUUCAAUUUAUCAAUCGAUAUGAUACAUACGUAAUACAGAGAUAUGUACAUUUAUAAUGACUAAAAUAUUUUAUUAAAGAUACUUACGUUAGAAGUUUUCAUUUUCACUAUGUAAUCCUAUAUUCGUGGUAUUUUGAGUAAAGAGAAACGAUAUCGCAUCUUAAGCAAACCACUUUACUGUUUUACCGCCAGCACUACCACUUUUAUUCUUUUUCUCCUCAUUAUUUGCGUAAGUUCUUAGGCUUCUGAAUUUUUUGUAAGCCUCGUUACUUGUUAUGCCAAACUUUUCAGCGAUUUCAUUCCAUGCAUCUUUUUUAGAAUUUCUAUCUUUGUAUGAGCCGGUUUUUAUAUCCCACAACUCGGGGUGCAAAUGUAUUUCUUCAAUAAAAUCAGUAAUUGUCUUGUUAGACCAGUAACCAUUUUUACGUAGUUGUCAAAAUGCAGCUGAUCGCAAAACACAGAAUAUAGCAACAGGCACACUUCACUCAUAGCAAACUUCAUGUCGCGUAGAAAAGGAUACACUAUGCCAUAUCAAAGAGAGUGACUGAAACAACAAUAGAACUGGCUGUGCAAUAUUGCAGUUGAAUUCGAUAGCCUAGCGAUCGUUCGGCAACCCAUCGGGGCCAUAUCGGCCAUAAGUGGCUACACAAAACAUGUUUGGCUAUAUGGCCGGGACAUUACUGCAAUAUUGCAUAGUGUGGCUGACAUUGUUUGCAAUGUUGCC